AUGUCUAUUCUCAAGAUCCAUGCCAGAGAGAUCUUUGACUCUUGAGAAAACCCCACUGGGGAGGUUGAUCUCUACACCUCAAAAGGUCUCUUCCGAGCUGCCGUGCCCAGUGGUGCCUCAACUGGUAUCUAUGAGGCCCUGGAACUCCAGGACAAUGAUAAGACACGCUACAUGGGAAAGGGUGUCUCAAAGGCUGUUGAGCACAUCAAUAAAACUAUUGCACCUGCUCUGGUUAGCAAGAAACUGAGUGUCAUAGAACAGGAGAAGAUCGACAAACUGAUGAUUGAAAUGGAUGGGACUGAAAAAUAAAUCUAAGUUUGGCACAUAUGUCAUCCUGGGAAUAUCCCUGGCUGUCUGCAAAGCUGGUGCUGUAGAGCAGGGCAUGCCCCUGUACCGACACAUCGCCGACCUGGCUGGUAACCCCAAAGUCAUCCUGCCAGUCCCGGCUUUCAACAUAAUCAACGGUGGCUCCCACACUGGCAGCAAGCUGGCCAUGCAGGAGUUCACGAUCCUCCCCGUGGGUGCUUCCAGUUUCUGGGAAGCCAUGCACAUUGAAGCAGAGGUUUAUCACAACCUGAAGAAUGUCAUCAAGGAGAAAUAUGGAAAAGAUGCCACCAAUGUGGGUGAUGAAGGUGGGUUUGCUCCCAACAUCCUGGAGAACAAAGAAGCCUUGGAGCUGCUGAAGAACGCAAUUGGGAAGGCUGUUACACUGACAAGGUUGUCAUCGGCAUGGAUGUAGGUGCCUCUGAGUUCUUCAGGGCCAGAAAAUAUGACUUGGACUUCAAAUCUCCUGAUGACCCCAACAGGUACAUCUCUCCUGACCAGCUGGAUGACCUGUAUAAGUCCUUCAUCCGAGACUAUCCAGUGGUGUCCAUUGAAGAUCCCUUUGACCAGGAUGACUGGGAAGCUUGGCAGAAGUUCACGGAUAGUGCAGGCAUCCAGGUUGUUGGGGAUGAUCUCACAGUGACCAACCCAAAACGAAUUGCCAAGGCUGGGGCUGACAAGUCCUGUAACUGCCUCCUGCUCAAAAUGAACCAGAUUGGCUCUGUGACCGAGUCUCUGAAGGUGUGCAAGCUGGCACAGUCUAAUGGUUGGAGUGUCAUGGUGUCCCAUCACUCUGGGGAGACUGAAGAUACCUUCAUUGCCGAUCUGGUGGUGGGACUCUGUACUGGGCAGAUUAAGACUGGUUCACCUUGCCGAUCAGAGCAUCUGGCCAAGUACAAUCAGAUCCUCAGAAUCAAGGAGGAACUGGGCAGCAAGGCCAAGUUUGCCAGCAAGUCCUUCAGAAACCCCCUGGCCAAGUAAACGAUGGUCAGCCAUCCCUGGAGCCCUCAGUCACACUGGCUGCUUAGACCAUGUCCCUGAUAUCG